ensembl:lncRNA
CAUCUUUUGUGAGUUUUUUUAUUAUUUUUUUUUGUCCUCCAAGUACAUCAUCAAGGCUAUUUUUAAACUAUACAGGCUACAGUCUUAAAAACAGACAGUUGGGAUCCUUGACUAAUCAGACUUGGAACUUUAAGGAAUUCACUGAAGACUAAAACAAAACAUCAGAAGUUGGCUACAGUCCUUCCCAAUGAUAGAAAAACCGCUCAGGGGAACAGCAUUUAGCCAGUCCUUUUCAUUUUAUUUUUCAUAGAUUCUGAGCAAAGAUACUGAUUACAGCUUCACGUCACAUCUCUCUUUCCAGCAUAAGGCUGGAAGGUUUUCCUCAAGCCAUCAGUUGAGGACACUGCUGUUAAACCUAACAGGCUGUGUUCAUUGUAAACUCUAAACACUGCUCCUGCUGAAGAACAGGCACACCAGCGUGAUCCUCCCCCUCUAGCUCAUUUGCCCUUGUAUUGGGAGGUACUAUCGUUGAACCCACAGAAACCUGUGCUGGUGUUGGUGCCGGUCUGCAGCAAGCUGACUCAGGCUGUGACAGAGCUGUGAGUAAACGGAGAGCAGCACAAAAGACAUGCCUGUUUUCAGCCAGACAAGCACCUUGAGCCAGCUGGUGCUCUGUCACAACGCUAAGUGCUGCUGGAAAGGAGGGAAGUGGAAUGGGUAACUUAAGAGUAGAAUCAUAGAAUCACCAAGGUUGGAAAAGCCCCACAGGAUCACCCAGUCCAACCAGGUAGAAAAAGAGGAGAAAAACAUCAGGGCAGCCUGGAAUGGAACUGAAUUGCUGAGAAGCAGACCUCUACUGCUGCCUUAUUCCUUUGAAUGCCAGCGGAUGGGACAAGUAGAAGCCAUUUCAGUGACAGGCCUUUUGCACUUCUUUGUAACAAUGACUCCUGGGCAGCAUCGGCAAACAGGAUUUAUUUACACUUCUGAGACAGCUAUCUCUCUUUCAAUAUGUAAUUUUUCUUUUUUUUUUUUUUUUCAUUCUCCCCACUCUCAGAGCUGCUGCUUCUCAGCUUUUAUGCAAGCCUCCCCUCUGGGCCCCGCCGCAGUCGGGGCUCGUUGCCACACCACCAGUUCUCCUGGUGUAGCAAUACUCCUGUCACCACAUGGCUGCCACCGCCCGCUCCGUCCUUAUCCUCGGGGACGUAUAAUUCUGUGGCUUCUCUCGAGCCCUCACAGCAUAUUCUGAGGCUUAAAACCCUCUCUAACUCUCCAGACGGCGUCUGUCCGACUCAGUCACGCGCUGCUCCCAGCACACUUCGCACUCAG